rnacentral:rRNA from 1 species
GUGGGGAAUAUUGCACAAUGGGCGAAAGCCUGAUGCAGCAACGCCGCGUGAGGGAUGACGGCCUUCGGGUUGUAAACCUCUUUUAGCAGGGAAGAAGCGAAAGUGACGGUACCUGCAGAAAAAGCGCCGGCUAACUACGUGCCAGCAGCCGCGGUAAUACGUAGGGCGCAAGCGUUAUCCGGAAUUAUUGGGCGUAAAGAGCUCGUAGGCGGUUUGUCGCGUCUGCUGUGAAAUCCCGAGGCUCAACCUCGGGCCUGCAGUGGGUACGGGCAGACUAGAGUGCGGUAGGGGAGAUUGGAAUUCCUGGUGUAGCGGUGGAAUGCGCAGAUAUCAGGAGGAACACCGAUGGCGAAGGCAGAUCUCUGGGCCGUAACUGACGCUGAGGAGCGAAAGGGUGGGGAGCAAACAGGCUUAGAAACCCUAGUAGUCC